rnacentral:rRNA from 1 species
AUUGAACGCUGGCGGCAUGCUUUACACAUGCAAGUCGAACGGUAACAGGCCGCAAGGUGCUGACGAGUGGCGAACGGGUGAGUAAUGCAUCGGAACGUGCCCAGUCGUGGGGGAUAACGCAGCGAAAGCUGUGCUAAUACCGCAUACGAUCUAUGGAUGAAAGCGGGGGACCGUAAGGCCUCGCGCGAUUGGAGCGGCCGAUGUCAGAUUAGGUAGUUGGUGGGGUAAAGGCCUACCAAGCCGACGAUCUGUAGCUGGUCUGAGAGGACGACCAGCCACACGGGGACUGAGACACGGCCCAGACUCCUACGGGAGGCAGCAGUGGGGAAUUUUGGACAAUGGGCGCAAGCCUGAUCCAGCAAUGCCGCGUGCAGGAAGAAGGCCUUCGGGUUGUAGACUGCUUUUGUACGGAACGAAACGGCCUGGGUUAAUACCCUGGGCUAAUGACGGUACCGUAAGAAUAAGCACCGGCUAACUACGUGCCAGCAGCCGCUGUAAGAC